rnacentral:rRNA from 1 species
GAUGAACGCUAGCGGCAGGCCUAAUACAUGCAAGUCGAACGGUGUCUUCGGACAUAGUGGCGCACGGGUGCGUAACACGUAUGCAACCUACCUUACAUUGGGGGAUAGCCUUUCGAGAGGGAGAUUAAUACCGCAUAAGACAGUAGCUGGGCAUCCAGCAGCUGUUAAAGAUUUAUCGAUGUAAGCUGGGCAUGCGUCCAAUUAGCUAGUUGGUGAGGUAACGGCUCACCAAGGCAAUGAUUGGUAGGGGAACUGAGAGGUCAAUCCCCCACACUGGCACUGAGAUACGGGCCAGACUCCUACGGGAGGCAGCAGUAGGGAAUAUUGGGCAAUGGACGCAAGUCUGACCCAGCCAUGCCGCGUGCAGGAUGAAGGCGUUAUGCGUUGUAAACUGCCUUUAUACAGGAAGAAACGACUCUUGCGAGAGGCAUUGACGGUACUGUAUGAAUAAGCACCGGCUAACUCCGUACCAGCCGCCGCGGUAAAAC